rnacentral:tRNA from 1 species
GGGAGUAGAUGGGUGCUGGUGUGCCCUCUGGUCUUCAAAACCAGUGUAGUUAUUUAAGAGCUGCCUGGGUGGGUUCGAUUCCCACAUAUUCCCGCCA